GGAUUUCUGGCGGGGACCAAGUACCCCUGGUGGGUGUGCUCGGGCCCGGCCAUCCUUCUGUAAACUUUCGCGCGUCCUUCACCGGUCGGCAAAGGGAUCAGAUAAUUUACCUUGAGAAAAUUAGAGUGUUUCAGGCAGGCUUAGCCGGAAUACAUUAGUAUGGAAUAAUGGAAUAGGACUGAGGUCUCGUUGUUGGUUACUCGGACUACAGUAAUGAUUAAUAGGGACAGUUGGGGGCAUUAGUAUUUAAUAGCUAGAGGUGGAAUUCUCUAAUUUGUUAAUGACUAUUUUAUGCGAAAGCAUUUGCCAAGGAUGUUUUCAUUAAUCAAGAACGAAAGUUAGGGGAUCAAAGACUAUCAGAUACCGUCCUAUUCUUAACCAUAAUCUAUGCCGACUCGGGAU
rnacentral:rRNA from 1 species